CGGGACGGGGCAGGGGCAGGGGCAGAGGCAGCGACAGCCCCAGGGGCAGGGGCGGGCGCAGCAGGGCCCGUGGGCAGGACCGCGGGCCCUGGCGGGGCUGCCUGGCACCGUCCCGGCCCUUGGAGGGACGCGCCUUUGGGCUGCGCGAGAGCCUGCGCUGCGACUGCGGCCGCUUGCCCCCGAGCGCUGGGCAGAGGCGGCGGAGCCGUCCCGGCUCCCUGGGGCCGGGCGAGGAGCCGCAGCGGACCCUGAGCCGGAUGUGGGAGAUCCGAAUACACAUAAGUCUCUUUAUAGAUAGAGAGCUGGAGAUAUCGAUCUACUCGGAGAAAAAAACAAGGGCGUUUAGAUUUAAAAAAAAAACAAACUUAUUUUAACUUUGGCUUGAUGAUGAUGAAAAUCGUGGGACAAAAACGGCGGGGAUUAUUCUGCAACAGAGGGGGAAACUGACCCCAUCGUUUUUCCGACCUGCUGGCCAGUAACUUUCGUUUUAAGUUGAUUUCAUUCAGCGAGAUGUUGUGAUCUCGGAGUUUAUUUUUCUUUUACAAUCCUUUUCUUCGCAAUAAAAGCCUUUUCUGUUUCAAAUUA